rnacentral:rRNA from 1 species
AAACUUUCAACAACGGACCUCUUGGUUC